rnacentral:rRNA from 1 species
GGGGGGGGGGGGGGGCGGGGGUGGGGGGGGGGGGGCGGGGGGGUGGGGGGGGCUUGCGCCUGGGGGCAGGGGGGGGCGGGGGGGUGAGGCCUCGGGAUAGGGCUGGUAGUGGGGGAUGAGGUCCGGCAGCGGGCGCUAGUCCCGGCUGAGUCCUGCGGGGGACAGUGGGGGGGCUUCGAGCCUCACGGUAGCAGAUGUGCCUCGGUCUGAUUAGCUAUUUGGUGGGGUAAAGGCCUACCAAGGCGCCGAUCCGUAACUGGUCUGAUAGGAUGAUCAGUCACACGGGAACUGAGAAAAGGUCCAGACUCCUACGGGAGGCAGCAGUGGGGAAUAUUGGACAAUGGGCGAAAGCCUGAUCAAGCCAUGCCGCGUGUGUGAAGAAGGUCUUCGGAUUGUAAAGCACUUUAAGUUGGGAGGAAGGGCAGUAAGUUAAUACCUUGCUGUUUUGACGUUACCAACAGAAGAAGCACCGGCUAACUUCGUG